GACAGAGGAUGCAAGCGUUAUCCGGAAUGAUGGUGCGUAAAGCGUCUGUAGGUGGCUUUUAAGUCCGCCGUCAAAUCCCAGGGCUCAACCCUGGACAGGCGGUGGAAACUACCAAGCUGGAGUACGGUAGGGGCAGAGGGAAUUUCCGGUGGAGCGGUGAAAUGUGUAGAUAUUGGAAAGACCACCGAUGGCGGAAGGACGACUCUACUGGGCCAUGACUGACACUGAGAGACGAAAGCUAGGGGAGCAAAUGGG
rnacentral:rRNA from 1 species